rnacentral:rRNA from 1 species
UACGUAGGGCGCAAGCGUUAUCCGGAAUUAUUGGGCGUAAAGAGCUCGUAGGCGGUUUGUCGCGUCUGCCGUGAAAGUCCGGGGCUCCAACUCCGGAUCUGCGGUGGGUACGGGCAGACUAGAGUGAUGUAGGGGAGACUGGAAUUCCGUGGUGUAGGCGGUGAAAUGCGCAGAUAUCAGGAGGAACACCGAUGGCGAAGGCAGGUCUCUGGGCAUUAACUGACGCUGAGGAGCGAAAGCAUGGGGAGCGAACAGG